GAGUUACAUUCCUUUCGUUUCACCUCCGAAAGCAAGUCUGCUCGCGUUUAGCAUUAUUUAGAAAUGUGUUUCGGAGAUUGUUUUCUCUCAAUUGUUGUUAUUGGAAACUCGCUAGCUUAGUGUACUGCUAACGACGUAGCGACGAUGCUAAAUCGGUGCUCACAAGCUAAUUAGCAUGCGAACGUAGUGCCAAAACGCAUUUUUUUAAUCGUUGUUUGUCACACUUCGAGCUGUAUUUAUGUCCUUUUGUUAAACAACUGACGAUUUGUGUUGUAUUUGUGUACACAAUAUUAAUGCGUGUUUUAAAUCCUGUUCAUUUCAAUUUCACUUACAAUUCAUUGAGGUGACGUCACAGUUGUUCACUGGACGCCGUCAAGAAGACCGUAAUAAAGGAGCAAGACGACAGUGUAUCAAACGACAUUUAUGAUGGAAAAUUGCUCAGAUAGGCUCCACCUGAUUUGUAGACAUAAUAAUAUUUCAGAAAACUGACGAAAAGAAGAACUCCCCCUCUCGAGUUUGUCAUUCAGCUCUGCAGUACCGCCAAAUGACCAACAGGGGGCCGCAGAGGCACUGGCCGCUUCCCCCCAUGAUCGCGGCCCUCACCGAACAGCAACGCCGACGGCCGGGUGGUUAUACACAAACAAGGUACCGUCUUCAACUCGCAGCACUAUAAACCAGAGCGCCGCGGCGAGUCAACCCAGGAGAGAAUGCACGAUUGUGACGUCAUCCACAGGCGACCCCGUCCUUGCUUUGGUGAAGCUGAACGUGAGGAAAAAAAAAAAAAUACCCGAGGAGCGAGCGUGUUUGUUCGCUGUAAGUAUUUUAUUUUGUACCGUACGCCUCAAAGACGCUUUGUCAAUACGAGAGCGAGGUCAGAAGCUCCGCACCUCAGACGAUACAUUAACGACGGGCUGAGCGCUCCAAAGUAAAUAUUUUUAGUUGUUUAUUUUUAAACUGACGUGGUGAGAGUCUCGGAUGCUUUGUCUGCGCUCUCCAAUCUAAUUUGCAUCUUCCAACAGGACGUCACGUGGGUUGAUUGCAUUAAAUGACUUCUGACUUUCA